rnacentral:rRNA from 1 species
UACGAAGGGGGCUAGCGUUGCUCGGAAUCACUGGGCGUAAAGCGCACGUAGGCGGCUUUUUAAGUCAGGGGUGAAAUCCUGGAGCUCAACUCCAGAACUGCCUUUGAUACUGAGAGCUGAGUCGGGAGAGGUGAGUGGAACUGCGAGUGUAGAGGUGAAAUUCGUAGAUAUUCGCAAGAACACCAGUGGCGAAGGCGGCUCACUGGCCCGGUACUGACGCUGAGGUGCGAAAGCGUGGGGAGCAAACAGG